rnacentral:rRNA from 1 species
UACGAAGGGUCCAAGCGUUAUCCGGAUUCAUUGGGUUUAAAGGGUGCGCAGGCGGGGCCUUAAGUCAGGGGGGAAAUCUCUUCGCUCAACGAAGAAACUGCCAUUGAUACUGAGGUUCUUGAAUGUAGUUGACGUUAGUGGAAUGUGUCAUGUAGCGGUGAAAUGCAUAGAUAUGACACAGAACACCGAUCGCGAAGGCAGCUAACGAAGCUAUUAUUGACGCUCAGGCACGACAGCAUGGGGAGCAAACAGG